rnacentral:rRNA from 1 species
UAGCACAGGUGCUGCAUGGCCGUCGUCAGCUCGUGCCGUGAGGUGUUCGGGUUAAGUCCCGCAACGAGCGCAACCCCCGCCGUUAGUUGCCAGCGGUUCGGCCGGGCACUCUAACGGGACUGCCCGCGAAAGCGGGAGGAAGGAGGGGACGACGUCUGGUCAGCAUGGCCCUUACGGCCUGGGCGACACACGUGCUACAAUGCCCACUACAAAGCGAUGCCACCCGGCAACGGGGAGCUAAUCGCAAAAAGGUGGGCCCAGUUCGGAUUGGGGUCUGCAACCCGACCCCAUGAAGCCGGAAUCGCUAGUAAUCGCGGAUCAGCCAUGCCGCGGUGAAUACGUUCCCGGGCCUU